rnacentral:rRNA from 1 species
AACGUAGGUGGCGAGCGUUAUCCGGAUUUACUGGGCGUAAAGCGUGUGCAGGCGGCUUCACAAGUGGUGUAUGAAAUAUCCAGGCUCAACCUGGAGGGGUUAUGCCAGACUGUGAGGCUUGAGUGCGAGAGAGGGGCGUGGAAUUCCGGGUGUAGUGGUGAAAUGCGUAGAGAUCCGGAGGAACCCCAGAGGCGAAGGCGGCGCCCUGGCUCGCAACUGACGCUCAGACACGACAGCAUGGGGAGCGAACGGG